CGUCGCUCUGAUACCAAAUGAUAAGACCCUAAAGUCUUAUCAUAAAAAAGAAGAAGAGAAAGGGGAUGAUCACUUCGAGGGGAUCGGCCUCCUUGAUCGCUUCGAGGGGAUCGGCCCUCCUUGAUCACUUCGAGGGGAUCGGCCUCCUAGGGUUUGUCCAAAGACAGAAUAAUAUUUUUCAUAGAUUACUGAAAAGAAGCAGUUACAUCCCUAUUUAUAGAGUUCCACCCAAAGUCCAUUAGGACUUGAACUCUAAUAAUAAAUAAAUAUUAAAUAAACCUCUACUUGACUCUAACUGAACCAAACUGACUCAAUAAACAAUUGGACUAAACAGAC
rnacentral:lncRNA from 1 species